UAGAACUAAUGUUUAUAGUCCACUCUGAUCAAGAGCGACUUAAAGUCCGCAACGACGGCCCCCUUCAAGGCUUAAAGCGACAAGAUGGGUUGAGAUUGUUAAGGCCAAAGCGACAGAACGAUCUCUAGUCUAUCAAGGCAAAAAGCGACAAGAUAGUUGGACUCACUAUUAGAGUCUUAUUCUGGCCGAAGCGACAGAAUAAU
rnacentral:lncRNA from 1 species